AACGAACGCUGGCGGCAUGCCUAACACAUGCAAGUCGAACGAGACCUUCGGGUCUAGUGGCGCACGGGUGCGUAACGCGUGGGAACCUGCCUUUAGGUUCGGAAUAACUCAGAGAAAUUUGAGCUAAUACCGGAUGAUGUCUUCGGACCAAAGAUUUAUCGCCUUUAGAUGGGCCCGCGUUGGAUUAGCUAGUUGGUGGGGUAAAGGCCUACCAAGGCGACGAUCCAUAGCUGGUCUGAGAGGAUGAUCAGCCACACUGGGACUGAGACACGGCCCAGACUCCUACGGGAAGCAGCAGUGGGGAAUAUUGGACAAUGGGCGAAAGCCUGAUCCAGCAAUGCCGCGUGAGUGAUGAAGGCCUUAGGGUUGUAAAGCUCUUUUACCCGAGAUGAUAAUGACAGUAGCGGGAGAAUAAGCUCCGGCUAACUCCGUG
rnacentral:rRNA from 1 species